GACGAACGCUGGCGGCGUGCUUAACACAUGCAAGUCGAACGGAAAGGCCCUGCUUUUGUGGGGUGCUCGAGUGGCGAACGGGUGAGUAACACGUGAGUAACCUGCCCUUGACUUUGGGAUAACUUCAGGAAACUGGGGCUAAUACCGGAUAGGAGCUCCUGCUGCAUGGUGGGGGUUGGAAAGUUUCGGCGGUUGGGGAUGGACUCGCGGCUUAUCAGCUUGUUGGUGGGGUAGUGGCUUACCAAGGCUUUGACGGGUAGCCGGCCUGAGAGGGUGACCGGCCACAGUGGGACUGAGAUACGGCCCAGACUCCUACGGGAGGCAGCAGUGGGGAAUAUUGCACAAUGGGCGGAAGCCUGAUGCAGCAACGCCGCGUGCGGGAUGACGGCCUUCGGGUUGUAAACCGCGUUCGCCUGUGACGAAGCGUGAGUGACGGUAAUGGGUAAAGAAGCACCGGCUAACUACGUGC
rnacentral:rRNA from 1 species